UUAUAGUGUCCACUACAAGUCGGGAGCACUACGUGUGGAUACUAUGUCAUGAAGUAUAUGAGAGAAAUUGUAAAUAGGGGAAGCAUUGUCAUCUCGGAUUCGAUUGAUACACGAAAAUCAUACUCACAAGCCGAGUUAGAUGAGGUGCGGGUUGAGUUGGUAGAGUUUUUGGGUUCGUACAUGUGAUCUAGGACUUAUGACGUCAUCUCUGAAAAAGGAAAUUAACUUUAUUUUUUGUGGCUGAUUUUUUGAAAUGUUCAUAUGGAGGGGAGGGGUUGAUUGAUAUACUUUUGUGACUUUGUAGAGGAUUACAAUUUAGGUAAAUUGUUAAUAGGUGAACUGUUCAUAUAUGUAGGGGGUUGCCAUUAUGAAAGUUUAUGUAUUGGGGAUGAUAUACUUUUGAGCUAGGUUAGUUAAUUAGAUAAUGUUUAGUUCGAUUCUUGGAAAUCUGUUGAAAUUGUUUAUAUAUAUAUUGGUUUUGUAAAUGAUAUAUGAAUAUGAUGCAAAGUUUUGGAAAUGAUAUUGAAUGGAUGAUGUUUAGUUGCCAUUUGAUGUA